GUAGGAGGCGAGCGUUAUCCGGAUUUACUGGGGGGCGUAAAGCGCGUGUAGGGCGGGUUUCUUAAGUCGGGACGUGAAAGCUCUCGGCUCAACUGGGAGAGGUCGUUCGAAACUAGGGAACUUGAGGGUGGUAGAGGAGAGUGGAAUUCCCGGUGUAGUGGUGAAAUGCGUAGAUAUCGGGAGGAACACCAGUGGCGAAGGCAGCUCUCUGGGCCACUCCUGACGCUAAGACGCGAAAGCUAGGGAGAGAACGGGAUUAGAAACCCCGGUAUUCCUAGCUGUAAACGAUGUCAACUAGGUGUACGGGGGUAUCCAACCCCCCUGUGCUGUAGCUAACGCAUUAAGUUGACCGCCUGGGGACUACGGCCGCAAGGCUA
rnacentral:rRNA from 1 species